GAGGGUAUAGCUCAGUGGUAGAGUGCAUGCCUAGAAUGCACAAGGUCCUGGGUUCAAUCUCCAUACCUCCA
rnacentral:tRNA from 1 species